AUAUGAGCAACUUCCAUUAACUUUCCAAGGAGGUAUUCACUUCCUGUAGUGGGAAAAGACACCUGCUAAUUGGUAGCACACAGCGAACACCACAAGACUGCAGCUUCAAAUUGUCAGAAGUGGACUGAGCAUGGACUUCCAUUAGAUGAAAUUUUGAAUGACAGAGAAUACUGAUCAAUGAUGAUGAUGCUGCGAAGGAAGAAUGAACAACAUUCUUAUAUAAAGAAGAGAAAUAGAUAUUCUUUGAGGGAAGCAGAGCAGAUGAGAGUGGGAGAUGAAAUGGAGAGCAAAGUAGACAAUGGGGGUUAAACCCUUACCCCACUGAAGACAAAACUCCCAAUGAUUUCAACAUGGCCAGAAUUUCAACUUGUGUUCCAUAAAAACUAAACAUAUUGUACUAAAGACAGCUAAGAAUACUUAAUUUUCCUACGAUUGCUUUUCUAUUUGAGCACUUGCUUAGUUGUCACAAGGAUAUUAUGUAACUUUGAGUAGGAGGGGAAGUGGUGUAUGAGACAAUCUCUUGCAUUGGAUAAGUGUGAGAAUCCUUGCUCAGAGCACUGUUGAUGGGGGGGCGGAGCGUGGGAAGGAGAGAAUGAAGUAUUUCCAAGAAAGAAUAAGCAUUUAGCUUUCAGAAUUAGAGAUGAGUCAGAACUGAAAUGUCCAUUAUGGGAAGGCUUGGAAGGAUUCAAUUUUUAUCAGUAACUGUUGGCAAACAAUCAAUGUCACCAUAUACACACAAACCGAUAAAAAUAUUUCCACUGAUAAUAAUAAAAAUUUACAGUUAGGCAAAGAAAAAAAAAUGCUGCUUGAGAACUAGAGUUUGAUUUAAGCAUAUUUACUGUGUAUAUUUUGACUUGUGAUACUCACACUUUGUGUUUGAAAGGUUUAAUUUUUGAAUCUCAAUGUCUACCGUCAUGAAACAAUUGUUGUCUGACGAAGCAGCCUCAGAUGAAAAGGCAGUGUAAGAAGCACCCUCUGUAGCCUUUCCUAUUAUGAUUCACACAGCUUCCAAGUGUCUCAGAAGUCUUCAAGGAAGAGUAUGGGCCCUCUCUGUUUUCCAGACUCCAGUUCUAGCAGUCUAAAACACAGUAAGUUACCAGGGUGGAAGUUGGGGGAAAACUCCAACUAGGAUUCUGCCUGUGGUGGAGAAGGCAAAGACCAUUGGCGGAGGGAAGUAUUGCUGGCUAUGCUGACUUUAAGAUUGCAUAUAGCCAAAUGUCAUCUUUCAUCAGGUCCCAUAAACAGCUUGACUAUGCACGGAAGCACCAAGAUCAUGAGUCUCCACAGAGAAGCAAGAUCAGCUACUACUCCUAAGAGCUGUACUUGCUAAAAUAUCUCUCAACAAGAUUGGCUCAGCAGUAAGAUAGUCGUUCAGGAGAGUGGAGCCUAAACAUUGAUCUUGUAGGAUCUUAUCCAGUGAUGAGCUUUCUGGAAGCGGACUUCUGUGUCAGUGGAUACUGCCAGUUGCCAGUGUUCUUCUACUGGAAAGAUGUGAGCAGUAGCCAUAAAGCCAUCUCUUCACUCCUGCUCUCUACAAGGGCCCUAGCGAAAAUAAAAGAAUAUGUCUGAAUGAUAGUGGUAGCCCUAUUUGGCCAAGGAGAUUCUGGUUUACAAUGAUAGAGCUAUUCCUUUUUUUUUUUUAAUUUUCUAUUUAACUUUUUUUUCUUUUAAGGUUCAAAACACACAAGAAAAUUUCACCUAAAAUUUCAGAUCUGUAUUUUCAACUUAAGUUAACUGUAACAAAGUUUUUAUCUUGGAAUUAACUUUUAACCUUUUGUUGAGUUUCAGAUGCAAAGAAAAAUUCUUUCAUUCACAACAUCCAAUUGUAUCUCCUGCACCAGUUUACUGAAAUUGUGUGGAUAAAUUUAGGAACCAACCAACUGCAACCAAACAGAUUGGCUUACUAGUAGUAAGUGUGCACAGUCACAACAGUGUUGUAUCUCAGGAGAUUAGAGAGACAAGAUAGGUGAGAUCGUAUCUUUUAUUAGACCAACUUCUGUUGGUGAGAGAGACAAGCUUUUGAGCCUACAUAGCCACCAGAUCUGAUACCUGAAGAAGAGCUCUGUGUAAGCUCGAAAGCAUGUCUCUCUCACCAACAGAAGUUGGUCCAGUAACAGAUAUUAUCUCACCUACCUUAUCUCUCUAAUGGUAAGUAGGUAUUUUGAUUCAAGUUCACAUUUUAAUAAAUAGAUUUAAAUAUAUUUUAAAAUCUCCAGGAGACAUCUGUUUUCUGUUUAUUAUACACAUGACAUAGCAAGCUUUUCUAGAGGCGAAAAUGACAUGUUGUAAACCUAAAUCUGUCUAAUUUUAUUUCUAAGGUUUAGUGCUGAAAUGAAGCUCACUACAUAAUAUAACAAUAUCCUGUUUUUGUUUUUAAUCUUCUCUUCAUAAUAGUUUCUCCUUGACACCAGGACAGAAAAUUAUAUGGGGAACAAAAUAAUAUUGAAAUAUAAAGUAUAGGACAUAAACUUGAAUCAAGAUAUAUAUAUUUUUCAAGAUAUAUAUUGGGGCAUUUUUUAUUCUGACAUCAUGUCACCAUUCGCUUUAU